rnacentral:rRNA from 1 species
UCUGAGUACUAUAUAAUCAGUUAACUACUUUCAACAACGNAUCNCUUGGUUCUGAGCUAUCGAUGAAGAACGCAGCGAAUUGCGAUAAGUAGAUGUGAAUUGCAGUAAUUCAGUGAAUCAUCNAAUCUAUGAACGNUCGAUUGCGCCCGCCGGUAUUCCGGCGGGCAUGCCUGUUCGAGCGUCAUUAUAACCAAUCAAGCUCUGCUUGGCUUUGCGGCCCGCUGUAUCGGCGGCCCUUAAAAUCAGUGUCGGUGCCGUCUGGCUCUGAGCGUAGUAAUACUUCUCGCUAUCAGGGAUUAGUCGUCCACCCGCUAGAACCCCCAACUUUCUUAAGGUUGACCUCGAAUCAGCGUAGGGAUACCCGCUGAACUUAAGCAUAUCAAUAAGCCGGGAGGAA